rnacentral:rRNA from 1 species
GGUUACGGCCACAUCCAUUGUAAAGUACCCCAUCUCGUCAGAUCUGGGAAGUUAAAAUAAUGAGAGCUCAGUUAGUAGUAAGGUUGGGGAC